rnacentral:rRNA from 1 species
UAGAGUUUGAUCCUGGCUCAGGACGAACGCUGGCGGCGUGCCUAACACAUGCAAGUCGAGCGAUGAAGCCCUUCGGGGUGAAUUAGCGGCGGACGGGUGAGUAACACGUGGGUAACCUGCCUUAUAGAGGGGGAUAGCCUUCCGAAAGGAAGAUUAAUACCGCAUGAAAUGUUUUUAUCGCAUGGUAGAAACAUCAAAGGAGUAAUCCGCUAUAAGAUGGACCCGCGGCGCAUUAGCUAGUUGGUGAGGUAACGGCCCACCAAGGCGACGAUGCGUAGCCGACCUGAGAGGGUGAUCGGCCACAUUGGAACUGAGACACGGUCCAGACUCCUACGGGAGGCAGCAGUGGGGAAUAUUGCGCAAUGGGGGAAACCCUGACGCAGCAACGCCGCGUGAAUGAAGAAGGCCUUAGGGUUGUAAAGUUCUGUUUUCUGGGACGAUAAUGACGGUACCAGAGGAGGAAGCCACGGCUAACUACGUGCCAGCAGCCGCGGUAAUACGUAGGUGGCAAGCGUUGUCCGGAUUUACUGGGCGUAAAGGAUGCGUAGGCGGAUGUUUAAGUGAGAUGUGAAAUACCCGAGCUCAACUUGGGUGCUGCAUUUCA